AACAGGGAUUGCCCUAGUAACCGGCGAGUGAAGCGGCAACAGCUCAAAUUUGAAAUCUGGCCCUAGGCCCGAGUUGUAAUUUGCAGAGGAUGCUUUUGGCGAGGUGCCUUCUGAGUUCCCUGGAACGGGACGCCACAGAGGGUGAGAGCCCCGUAUAGUCGGACACCAAGCCUCUGUAAAGCUCCUUCGACGAGUCGAGUAGUUUGGGAAUGCUGCUCAAAAUGGGAGGUAAAUCUCUUCUAAAGCUAAAUACCGGCUAGAGACCGAUAGCGCACAAGUAGAGUGAUCGAAAGAUGAAAAGCACUUUGAAAAGAGGGUUAAACAGCACGUGAAAUUGUUGAAAGGGAAGCGCUUGUGACCAGACUUGCGCCCGGUUGAUCAUCCAGCGUUCUCGCUGGUGCACUCUGCCGGGUUCAGGCCAGCAUCGGUUUUCGCAGGGGGAUAAAAGCUUCGGGAAUGUGGCUCCCUCGGGAGUGUUAUAGCCCGCUGCAGAAUACCCUUGCGGGGACCGAGGUUCGCGUUCUGCAAGGAUUACUAGGUGGUUAAGAGGCUGCGAUCGCAGCCUAGGCUUUCCCCCUAGCGAGGGAAAUACAGCCGACACCGCUAAAUUGCGUGUUUGGGUGUAAAACCCGCACGCGAAAUGAAAGUGAACGUAGGUGAGAGCUUCGGCGCAUCAUCGACCGAUCCUGAUGUAUUCGGAUGGAUUUGAGUAAGAGCCUUACCGCUUGGACCCGAAAGAUGGUGAACUAUGCUUGAAUAGGGUGAAGCCAGAGGAAACUCUGGUGGAGGCUCGCAGCGGUUCUGACGUGCAAAUCGAUCGUCAAAUUUAAGCAUGGGGGCGAAAGACUAAUCGAACCAUUGAAGAAAAUAGGGUAAUCCAGAAAACUACUAG
rnacentral:rRNA from 1 species